rnacentral:rRNA from 1 species
GAUGAACGCUGGCGGCGUGCCUAAUACAUGCAAGUCGAGCGAAUGGAUUAAGAGCUUGCUCUUAUGAAGUUAGCGGCGGACGGGUGAGUAACACGUGAGUAACCUGCCCAUAAGACUGGGAUAAUUCCGGGAAACCGGGGCUAAUACCGGAUAACAUUUUGAACCGCAUGGUUCGAAAUUGAAAGGCGGCUUCGGCUGUCACUUAUGGAUGGACCCGCGUCGCAUUAGCUAGUUGGUGAGGUAACGGCUCACCAAGGCAACGAUGCGUAGCCGACCUGAGAGGGUGAUCGGCCACACUGGGACUGAGACACGGCCCAGACUCCUACGGGAGGCAGCAGUAGGGAAUCUUCCGCAAUGGACGAAAGUCUGACGGAGCAACGCCGCGUGAGUGAUGAAGGCUUUCGGGUCGUAAAACUCUGUUGUUAGGGAAGAGCAAGUGCUAGUUGAAUAAGCUGGCACCUUGACGGUACCUAACCAGAAAGCCACGGCUAACUACGUGCCAGCCGCCGCCGUAA